rnacentral:tRNA from 1 species
UGUUGCUCAGUGGUUGAAUACUUGCCUAGCAUGCACAAGGCCCUGGGUUCAAUUCCCAGAACAA